GGGUAACGGGGUGUUAGGGCACGACACCGGAGAGGGAGCCUGAGAAACGGCUACCACAUCCAAGGAUGGCAGCAGGCGCGCAAAUUACCCAAUCCCGACACGGGGAGGUAGUGACAAUAAAUAACAAUACGGGGUUCUUUCGGAUUUCGUAAUUGGAAUGAGUACAAUUUAAAUCUCUUAACGAGGAACAAUUGGAGGGCAAGUCUGGUGCCAGCAGCCGCGGUAAUUCCAGCUCCAAUAGCGUAUAUUAAAGUUGCUGCAGUUAAAAAGCUCGUAGUUGAAUUUCGGGACUAAUAUAUCGGUCGUGCCUCGGUACGUACUGGUAUUUUUGGUUUCUCCCUUCUGACGAACCUUGAUGUCAUUAAUUUGGUGUCUUGGGGAAUCAGGACUGUUACUUUGAAAAAAUUAGAGUGUUUAAAGCAGGCUCACGCUUGAAUACAUUAGCAUGGAAUAAUGAAAUAGGACGUUUGAUUCUAUUUUGUUGGUUUCUAGGAUCGACGUAAUGAUUAAUAGGGAUAGUUGGGGGCAUUAGUAUUCAAUUGUCAGAGGUGAAAUUCUUGGAUUUAUUGAAGACUAACUACUGCGAAAGCAUUUGCCAAGGAUGUUUUCAUUAAUCAAGAACGAAAGUUAGGGGAUCGAAGACGAUCAGAUACC
rnacentral:rRNA from 1 species